rnacentral:rRNA from 1 species
AGAGUUUGAUCCUGGCUCAGAUUGAACGCUGGCGGCAUGCCUUACACAUGCAAGUCGAACGGUAACGCGGGGGCAACCCUGGCGACGAGUGGCGAACGGGUGAGUAAUACAUCGGAACAUAUCCAGUAGCGGGGGAUAACCUAUCGAAAGAUGGACUAAUACCGCAUACGAUCUACGGAUGAAAGCAGGGGACCGCAAGGCCUUGCACUAUUGGAGUGGCCGAUGUCGGAUUAGCUAGUUGGUGAGGUAAAGGCUUACCAAGGCGACGAGCCGUAGCUGGUCUGAGAGGACGAUCAGCCACACUGGAACUGAGACACGGUCCAGACUCCUACGGGAGGCAGCAGUGGGGAAUUUUGGACAAUGGGCGCAAGCCUGAUCCAGCCAUGCCGCGUGAGUGAAGAAGGCCUUCGGGUUGUAAAGCUCUUUCGGUGAAGACGAAACGGUUAGCGCUAAUAACGCUGACUAAUGACGGUACUCACAGAAGAAGCACCGGCUAACUACGUGCCAGCAGCCGCGGUAAUACGUAGGGUGCAGGCGUUAAUCGGAAUUACUGGGCGUAAAGCGUGCGCAGGCGGUUUGCUAAGACAGGUGUGAAAUCCCCGAGCUUAACUUGGGAAUUGCGCUUGUAACUGGCAAGCUAGAGUGUGGCAGAGGGGGGUGGAAUUCCACGUGUAGCAGUGAAAUGCGUAGAUAUGUGGAGGAACACCGAUGGCGAAGGCAGCCCCCUGGGUUAACACUGACGCUCAUGCACGAAAGCGUGGGGAGCAAACAGGAUUAGAUACCCUGGUAGUCCACGCCCUAAACUAUGUCAACUAGUUGUCGGGGAAGAAAUUCCUUGGUAACGAAGCUAACGCGUGAAGUUGACCGCCUGGGGAGUACGGCCGCAAGGUUAAAACUCAAAGGAAUUGACGGGGACCCGCACAAGCGGUGGAUUAUGUGGAUUAAUUCGAUGCAACGCGAAAAACCUUACCUACCCUUGACAUGCUAGGAAGCCCGCAGAGAUGUGGGUGUGCCCGAAAGGGAACCUAGACACAGGUGCUGCAUGGCUGUCGUCAGCUCGUGUCGUGAGAUGUUGGGUUAAGUCCCGCAACGAGCGCAACCCUUGCCAUUAGUUGCUACAUUCAGUUGGGCACUCUAAUGGGACCGCCGGUGACAAACCGGAGGAAGGUGGGGAUGACGUCAAGUCCUCAUGGCCCUUAUGGGUAGGGCUUCACACGUAAUACAAUGGUCGGUACAGAGGGCUGCCAACCCGCAAGGGGGAGCUAAUCCCAGAAAGCCGAUCGUAGUCCGGAUUGUAGUCUGCAAC